rnacentral:rRNA from 1 species
AUGGCCCACAUAUCAGAUAUUAAACUGAUAAAAACAGAUACUACACUUGAUCUUAGCCAAAAGGCCGAGAAAGGUAUGAGUUAAAACGGUGGCCACCCCAGCUCUUUAUAG